GGUUAGGACCAUAACCACGAGAGGACUUGAAAAUGAGCCGGAGCUGAGCGGAUCACCAAAACUAAAGACCAUACAACCAUGCCAACAACCAUCCAUGGAGAUCAGUGGACAAAGGGCUGGAUAAUGGGCCGCACCGAAAAAAAAACGCAUGGUUGCCAAGAAAGCGAUUCGUUUUGCUAGAUUCUUAAAAUGUGUACACAGCU